rnacentral:rRNA from 1 species
AGACCGAUAGCGAACAAGUAGAGUGAUCGAAAGAUGAAAAGCACUUUGAAAAGAGGGUUAAAUAGCACGUGAAAUUGUUGAAAGGGAAGCGCUUGUGACCAGACUUGCGCCGGGCUGAUCAUCCGGUGUUCUCACCGGUGCACUCUGCCCGGCUCAGGCCAGCAUCGGUUCUCGCGGGGGGAUAAAGGCCCUGGGAACGUAGCUCCUCCGGGAGUGUUAUAGCCCGGGGCGCAAUGCCCUCGCGGGGACCGAGGUUCGCGCUCUGCAAGGAUGCUGGCGUAAUGGUCAUCAGCGACCCGUCUUGAAACACGGACCAAG